rnacentral:rRNA from 1 species
CUACGUGCCAGCAGCCGCGGUAAUACGUAGGGUGCGAGCGUUAAUCGGAAUUACUGGGCGUAAAGCGGGCGCAGACGGUUACUUAAGCAGGAUGUGAAAUCCCCGGGCUCAACCUGGGAACUGCGUUCUGAACUGGGUGACUAGAGUGUGUCAGAGGGAGGUAGAAUUCCACGUGUAGCAGUGAAAUGCGUAGAGAUGUGGAGGAAUACCGAUGGCGAAGGCAGCCUCCUGGGAUAACACUGACGUUCAUGCCCGAAAGCGUGGGUAGCAAACAGGAUUAGAUACCCUGGUAGUCCACGCCCUAAACGAUGUCGAUUAGCUGUUGGGCAGCAUGACUGCUUAGUAGCGAAGCUAACGCGUGAAAUCGACCGCCUGGGGAGUACGGUCGCAAGAUUAAAACUCAAAGGAAUUGACGGGGACCCGCACAAGCGGUGGAUGAUGUGGAUUAAUUCGAUGCAACGCGAAGAACCUUACC